rnacentral:rRNA from 1 species
CAGUAGCCGCGGUAAUACGGAGGGAGCUAGCGUUGUUCGGAAUUACUGGGCGUAAAGCGCGCGUAGGCGGUUACUCAAGUCAGAGGUGAAAGCCCGGGGCUCAACCCCGGAACUGCCUUUGAAACUAGGUGACUAGAAUCUUGGAGAGGUCAGUGGAAUUCCGAGUGUAGAGGUGAAAUUCGUAGAUAUUCGGAAGAACACCAGUGGCGAAGGCGACUGACUGGACAAGUAUUGACGCUGAGGUGCGAAAGCGUGGGGAGCAAACAGGAUUAGAUACCCCCGUAGUCCCUGUCUCUUAUAA